rnacentral:sRNA from 1 species
GCCACCAUGGGUGUCAAUCCCUGCACAGCCUACAGGAUGCUGAUGGACUUCGAGCAACUGCAGCCAGGGGAUUCUGUCAUCCAGAAUGCAUCCAACAGCGGAGUGGGGCAAGCGGUCAUCCAGAUCGCCGCAGCCCUGGGCCUAAGAACCAUCAAUGUGGUCCGAGACAGACCUGAUAUCCAGAAGCUGAGUGACAGACUGAAGAGCCUGGGGGCUGAGCGUGUCAUCACCGAAGAGGAGCUAAGAAGGCCCGAAAUGAAAAACUUCUUUAAGAUUAGGGAACUAAGACUCAGAAAAGAGGAAAUGCUUAACCAAAAUCAUAUAGUUUAUAAGGGGGAGAGUCAGAGCUGGCCUCAGUCUCUCUGAACUCAAAGCCUUUUAACCUUCCAGAACCUCCACCCCACAACAUGCCUAGAGAUGCCCCAGCCACGGCUUGCUCUCAACUGUGUUGGUGGGAAAAGCUCCACAGAGCUGCUGCGGCAGUUAGCGCGUGGAGGAACCAUGGUAACCUAUGGGGGGAUGGCCAAGCAGCCCGUCAUAGCCUCUGUGAGCCUGCUCAUUUUUAAGGAUCUCAAACUUCGGGGCUUUUGGUUGUCCCAGUGGAAGAAGGACCACAGUC